GUGGGGAAUAUUGCACAAUGGGGGGAACCCUGAUGCAGCGACGCCGCGUGAGUGAAGAAGUAUUUCGGUAUGUAAAGCUCUAUCAGCAGGGAAGAAAAUGACGGUACCUGACUAAGAAGCCCCGGCUAACUACGUGCCAGCAGCCGCGGUAAUACGUAGGGGGCAAGCGUUAUCCGGAUUUACUGGGUGUAAAGGGAGCGUAGACGGUUAUGCAAGUCUGAAGUGAAAGCCCGAGGCUCAACCCCGGGACUGCUUUGGAAACUGUAAAACUGGAGUGCAGGAGAGGUAAGCGGAAUUCCUAGUGUAGCGGUGAAAUGCGUAGAUAUUAGGAGGAACACCAGUGGCGAAGGCGGCUUACUGGACUGUAACUGACGUUGAGGCUCGAAGGCGUGGGGAGCAAACAGGA
rnacentral:rRNA from 1 species